rnacentral:rRNA from 1 species
UACGAAGGGGGCUAGCGUUGUUCGGAAUUACUGGGCGUAAAGCGCACGUAGGCGGAUUGGUCAGUUAGGGGUGAAAUCCCAGGGCUCAACCCUGGAACUGCCUUUAAUACUGCCGGUCUAGAGUUCGAGAGAGGUGAGUGGAACUGCGAGUGUAGAGGUGAAAUUCGUAGAUAUUCGCAAGAACACCAGUGGCGAAGGCGGCUCACUGGCCCGGUACUGACGCUGAGAUACGAAAGCGUGGGGAGCAAACAGG